UGCAUUUGUCCUAAGUCAAAGUUUUUAAAGUUUGACCAACUUUGUAGAAAAUAGUAGCAACAUUUAUGAUGUCAAAGUUGUAAUAUUUGAAGAUGGAUCUACUGAUACUAAUUUGAUGUCAUAAAUGCUGCCACCUUUUUUAGAAAGUUGGUCAAACUUUAAAAACUUGGACUUAGGACAAAAGCAA
rfam:Brachypodium distachyon strain Bd21 chromosome 4, whole genome shotgun sequence.